UUAUUUAUUUAUUUCUUUAGCUUUGCCAACUAGGGCAGGGUCACCACCACAGCAUAUGCCAAUUACUGUGGGCCCUUUUUACCUAACCCACCCUGUCAACUUUCCCUGUGGGAGGAAACCGGAGUACCCAGGGAAAACCCACGGCUUUCGGCAGAGCGUUGACUUUUACUCUUUUCACAUGGGGACUGGGUUCGAGUCGCACUGAGAAGGUACUUAGUGAGACUCGAACCUGCAGCCUCGGAUGUGAAAGGCAAGUGCGCUAACCACUUGGCCACCGAAGCCCCUUACAGUUAUGUGACAGAUAUCUUUCACAGUUAUGUAACAGAUAUCUGUCACAGUUAUAUGACAGAUAUCUGUCACAUAUCUGCAACAUAUAGGAAUUUGGCCC